CCUACGGGUGGCAGCAGUGGGGGAUAUUGCACAAUGGGGGAAACCCUGAUGCAGCGACGCCGCGUGUGGGAAGACGGUCCUCUGGAUUGUAAACCACUGUCCCCAGGGACGAAGAGGACGGUACCUGGGGAGGAAGCUCCGGCUAACUACGUGCCAGCAGCCGCGGUACUACGUAGGGAGCGAGCGGUGUCCGGAAUUACUGGGUGUAAAGGGAGCGUAGGCGGGACUGCAAGGUGGCGGUCAAAUCUACCGGCUCAACCGGUAGCCGCACUCAAAACCGGAGUCCUUGAGUGAAGUAGAGGCAGGCGGAAUUCGUGGUGUAGCGGUGAAAUGCGUAGAUAUUAGGAGGAACACCAGUGGCGAAGGCGGCCUGCUGGGCUUUUACUGACGCUGAGGCUCGAAAGUGUGGGGAGCAAACAGGAUUAGAUACCCGAGUAGUC
rnacentral:rRNA from 1 species